rnacentral:lncRNA from 1 species
GACGAGCACGCGACACCAGUGCCACCCUGUCUUAGCAUAACGCGAGUCGAGGCGGACGUCGUCGCGGUAGCGACGACGGAUGCCGAGACGAGCACGUGACACCAGUGCCACCCGGUCUUAGCGUAACGCGAGUCGAGGCGGACGUCGUCGCGGUAUCGACGACGGACACCGAGACGAGCACGUGACACCAUUGCCAUCCUGUCUUAGCGUAAGGCGAGUCGAGGCGGACGUCAUCGCGGUAGCGACGACGGCUGCCGAGACGAGCACGUGACACGACUGCCUCCCAGUCUUAGCGUAAUGCGAGUCGAGGCGGACGUCAUCGCGGUAGCGACGACGGAUGCCGAGACGAGCACGUGACACCAGUGCCACCCUUUCUUAGCGUAACGCGAGUCGAUGCGGACGUCGUUGCGGUAGCGACGACGGACGCCGAUACGAGUACGUGACACCACUGCCUCCCUGUCUUAGCGUAACGCGAGUCGAGGCGGACGUUGUUGCGGAAGCGACGACGGACGCCGAGACGAGUACGGGACACCAGUGCCACCCUGUCUUAGCGUAUCGCGAGUCGAGGCGGACGUCGUCGCGGUAGCGAUGACGGACGCCGAGACGAGCACGUGACNNNNNNNNNNUCUCCCACAAUGUACGUCGAGACGAGCACGGGACACCAGUGCCACCCUGUCUUAGUGUAACGCGAGUCGGGGCGGACGUCGUCGCGGUAGCGACGGUGGACGCCGAGACAAGCACGUGACACCAGUGCCACCCUGUCUUAGCGUAACGCGAGUCGAGGCGGACGUCAUCGCAGUAGCGACGACGGACGCCGAGACGAGCACGUGACACCAUUGCCAACCUGUCUUAGCGUAACGCGAGUCGAGGCGGACGUCGUCGCGGUAGCGACGACAGACGCCGAGACGAGCACGUGACAGUACUGCAACCCUAUCUUAGCGUAAGCAAGUCGAGGCGGACGUCGUCGCGGUAGCAACGACGGACGCCGAGACGAGCACAUGACACCAUUGCCUCCCUGUCUUAGCGUAACGCGAGUCGAGGCAGACGUCGUCGCGGUAGCGACGACGGACGCCGAGACGAGCACGUGACACCACUGCCUCCCUGUCUUAGCGUAAC